rnacentral:rRNA from 1 species
UUAGCUAGUUGGUAAGGUAAUGGCUUACCAAGGCGACGAUCAGUAUCUGGUUUGAGAGGAUGAUCAGACACACUGGAACUGAGACACGGUCCAGACUCCUACGGGAGGCAGCAGUGGGGAAUUUUCCGCAAUGGGCGAAAGCCUGACGGAGCAAUACCGCGUGAGGGAAGAAAGCCUUCUGGGUUGUAAACCUCUUUUUUCAGGGAGGAAAAAAAUGACNUGUACCUGAAGAAUAAGCAUCGGCUAACUCCGUGCCAGCCGCCGCCGCGGUAAGACGGAGGAUGCAAGUGUUAUCCGGAAUUAUUGGGCGUAANAGCNUCCGAA